UCUUCUCCCGUCUUCUCCCACCCCGCCGCAAGCCGCGCCGUUCGCUGCCCACUGCCCGCUGCACACCGCCUCCAAAGAACCACCGCACCGUGCCGCGCCACACCCAGUAAGAAAACGCCGCCUUUACCGUCGCUCUGCGCCGCCUCUUAGGACUCACGGCACUGCAGAACCAAGUGGUCAUGACCUUGUCUCUUAAACCCUUUUCUGUUUAUGGUUGGUCAUUGUAGUGAGGAAUUAUACCAGGCCCACGUCCUAUGGCACAUGAGAAAGCUGGAACAUAGUUUCUUUGUUGUUUUCACCAUUUAGAGCAAUGCAAUGCUCUUAACUAAAUGCAAGUAUUUGUGUCUUACAAUAAACUCUUGACAUGUGCACUGUAGUUAUGUAGAAUAAACUCUUAACUAAACUAGCAAGUAUUUGUGUCUCUUACAAUAAACUCUUGACAUGUUUGUUUCAUCCUCAUGACAGGAUAUGGCAAGUCAGGUGUGAAGAACAAAAUCAAAGGACUUACUCCAAAGUAAAUGAAGUUCAAGUUUGAAGUUGAAAUGUGAAGUGUGAAGAACACAUAGAAUAGGAUUUACCAUAAUGUAACAAAAUACCAUAAUGUAACAGAAGUUCUAACUGCAAUAAAAUUAGAUUUGAAGUACAA